CUGAAUUCAGUAAACCUUAUUCUAAACAUAAACCAUCUGAGUCUCCCGAGUGUCUCUAAGUUUGCCUCCUGAUUCUUCUUUCGACAUUGCAGAAUUCCUGAACAAAUUGGCAUCACGAGAACAGGAUCUCCACACAGCAAGGACUGAGUGAAAGUAGGAGUUCCUCCUUAAGGUCAGGGAUUGCAGCAUCUGAGGGCCUCUUCAAAAGAAGACGUAGUUGAUGAAGGUGUUCUCCAGCACGGCCAGAAAGACCACGACCAAGCAGCCUUGAGAUCUUAGGCAGCGUCUCCCUCAGGUUCCUCUCUAUCUCCCCACACAUCCACCAACCACUGGAACACAUCUUCAAAGUUCUGCUGAAGCUCAGCUUCCCCUCAGAAGAAGUGCUGUCAGAUGAAGGAGCCUUUUGAGAGACAGCAGGCAUUGUGAUUGGACUGUACUUUGGUCUGAUCCAAUCCAGCUUCAGCUCCAGAGACGGCAGGCGGGACGAGUCAACGGAGGCCAGGUGGACGAAGGCAUGCAGCUGAGUACAAUCCAGAAAACAACAGAGGAGGAAACAAACAUAGUAGUAUAGUAUAAAAUAUAUAUAGUAUAUUGUACAAAUAACAAGUCAAAGGAAAGACACAUACAUUGUAGAAUUGUAGUAAUUGUGGGCUGACUGAUUUACUGAUUAUCAAUAUUUUAGUUUUUACUGAUUGAUGGUAACAAAUCAAUUUAUUAAUGGCGUUACUUUGGCUCUGAACCUUUAUCUAGCUGUGGUCGCUCUGUCUUCUGGAGUGAUUUGAUUGGUUAUACAUCACAAAUAAAACUCCUUUAACUUAACAUCUGUAAGCAAAACAAAAACAUAUCAACAAAAUUUUCUGUUAGAAUUUGUGUUCUUCUAAGUUUAACUCCAAGAUUUUAAAUGCUUUUAUUUCCUGUAAGUGAAUAUCUACUCCAGAUGUCUCACUAACAAUCAUCCAUCCUCUAUACACCGCUUUAUCCUCACUAGGGUCGCGGGGGUGCUGGAGUCUAUCCCAGCUGACUCGGGCGAAGGCAGGGGACACCCUGGACAGGCCGCCAGUCUGUCGCAGGGCUACAUAUACAGACAGACAAUCACUCUCACAUUCACACCUACGGACAAUUCAGAGUCAUCAAUUAACCUCAGCAUGUUUUUGGACUGUGGGAGGAAGCCGGAGUGCCCGGAGAAAACCCACGCAUGCACAGGGAGAACAUGCAAACUUCAUGCAGAAAGAUCCUAGGCCCACCCUGGGAUUUGAACCGGGGAUCUUCUUGCUGCAAGGCGAAAGUGCUAACCACUUACUUCACUGUGCAGCCACUAAUAAUCAUUAUCAGCCUUAAAAUCCCACAAAACACCCCUCUAUACUGGACCACACUUAGUACAGUCCGGUUCCCCCUUCUAUAAAUCUGCUUGGAAUCUUCCACUUCCUGUUUGUCAAAGUGGCCUUCUACCUGGACAGGUUUAAUUGGAGCUCAUGCAACAAACAUUUUGGGUAACUGCACUUUAAUAUGGAUGGAUGACACUGAAUGAGAGUCUGUUUUAAUGAGAUUGAGUUCAGGUGUGUAGCUCUGUCAUUAAAUAGGAAAUUAUUUCUCAGAAUUCACAGAGAAAAGUCUGAAAUGUUUGCUAGGUUAGCGUCCCACAUGUUCUUUGGCUCAGCUGAAGCUAACUCCCUCCAACUUCUGGAUCUCUUGAGUUGCUUGUUGGUAAAACAUCUUGCUAGAGGUGCUGAAGCUCAAAGUCUGAGAUGUUUGUUCAAAAUAAGCUCAUCCUCAAGUCUUAUCUGAACUGUCCCCUUUUAUUUGAACUUUCCCUAAACUUAGGAGUUAAUGACAGAGCAGCACAUCCAGACUCAGUCUCAUUUAUGUAGAGAUUAAACUUCGGUGUCAUUCAUUGAUGUUAAAGUGCAGUUUUUCACGUUUGUUGCACAUGCUCCCAACCAAACCAGUCCAGGUGGAAGAUGAUGUGAAGAGAAGCUCCAGAGGACGAACAUCACACAUUUACGUUGGAAAUAAAUGUCCUUUAAUUAGACAUUGUCAUGUAAAAGUUGUAUUUCCCUUUAAUGAUGUUGAAAACCUUGUUGAGUGUUUUGUUGAUGUUGGUUUCUAAAUGUUUUCUGACACUUGGCCACAAAGAUUAAAACCUUUCACGGAUCACAAGCUGCAACAAUUCACACAUUAUCAACUAUCUUUCUGACUAAACUAAGAUAAAAAGUGAAAAACUGCCUGAUUCCUGCAUCAUGAAUAUAAAUCUCUUUGGUUUUUAUGACAGUAAACUGAAUAUAUUUGGGUUUGACAUUUUAUAAACCAAAACAAGAAAUGAAUUACUGGAGAAAACAAUCAACAGAUUAAUGGACAAAGAAAAUGUGUUUUCUAACAUAUAUGGCUGAAUUACUCAAACGGUACAAAAUACAUACAAUUUAAAUUCAGUUUUAUUUAUAUAACUCCAAUUACAGGUCAAAUUGUCUCAAGACGCUUUAUAUUUUUUGUCAUAUUUAAAAAAUGACAAAGUAAGAAAUUUAAACCUCCUGUCCAAUCCAAUUUAUUAUUUGGUUUUUAAGAGACUAAUCGACAAUUAAAAUAACUUUCUCCACUAAAACUAAUCAACAUGAGGUCAAAUAGAAGGAACAGUUUUAAAUCCUACAGUCCCACGACGACAAGAAUAAAGUUUGUCAACAAAAACUAAAUCUGCUGGUGGAUUCCAUUAAAGUCCUAAUGAAUGAUAAUAAAGUGUGAUACUAAAGGUUUAUGGUGCUAAAAAUGUCAAAGUAAAGAUAUCAAGUUGAACAUCUGGAUGGAGAUUGAUAAAAGUUGACCUCCCUUCAUUUCUCUGGAGCCGACUCCAUGGAUUUUAUGGAUGCUGGUUAAAGACCUGCUCUUCUAGUCGUCUUCCUUCUAGUUGCUGUAAAAAGUCACUCCAUCCUCAUUGACUUGAACACUUCAUGACAACUUGUUCGUGGAAACUCCAGAAACUUGGGAAACCCGUCGAG